AACUGAACAGGGGAGCUUAUAGAUAGGCUGAGAGGAAGUUGAGAACUUCGACCCAUAUACCUGAUUUGGAUAAUGCCAACGUAGGAACCGAUGUAAGAUAUUUA
rfam:Clostridium sp. D5 genomic scaffold supercont1.4, whole genome shotgun sequence.